GGUAGUGUAGUUAACACCUGCAUUAUUUGACGUUACCUACAGAAGAAGCAACCGGCUAACUCCGUCGCCAGCAGCCGCGGUAAUACGGAGGGUGCGAGCGUUAAUCGGAAUUACUGGGCGUAAAGCGCAUGCAGGCGGCCUGUUAAGUCAGAUGUGAAAGACCCGGGGCGUUAACCUCGGAAUUGCAUUUGAAACUGGCAGGCUAGAGUCUUGUAGAGGGGGGUAGGAAUUUCAGGUGUAGCGGUGAAAUAGCGUAGAGAUCUGAAGGAAUACCAGUGGCGAAGGCGGCCCCCUGGACAAAGACUGACGCUCAGAUGCGAAAGCGUGGGGAGCAAACAGGAUUAGAUACCCUGGUAG
rnacentral:rRNA from 1 species